rnacentral:rRNA from 1 species
AAUAGAUACCCGGGUAGUCCACGCCGUAAACUAUGAGAGCUAGCCGUUGGGGGGAUUUAUUCCUUCAGUGGCGCAGCUAACGCAUUAAGCUCUCCGCCUGGGGAGUACGGUCGCAAGAUUAAAACUCAAAGGAAUUGACGGGGGACCCGCACAAGCAGCGGAGUGUGUGGUUUAAUUCGAUGCAACGCGGAGAACCUUACCAGGGUUUGACAUGCUCUCGCACCGUCUAGAGAUAGGCGUGCCCGCAAGGGACGGGAGCACAGGUGCUGCAUGGCUGUCGUCAGCUCGUGCCGUGAGGUGUUGGGUUAAGUCCCUAACGAGCGCAACCCUGUCGUUGGUUGUACUUUUCCAACGAGACUGCCGCGCGCAACGCGGAGGAAGGUGGGGAUGACGUCAAGUCAGCACGGCCCUUACGUCCUGGGCGACACACACACUACAAUGGCUGGUACAACGGGCAGCGAAGCGGCAACGCGGAGCCAAUCCCAGCAAAGCCAGCCCCAGUUCAGAUUGCCGGCUGCAACCCGCCGGC